GACGAACGCUGGCGGCGUGCUUAACACAUGCAAGUCGAGCGAACAGACGAGGAGUUUGCUCGUCUGACGUGAGCGGAAGGCGGGUGAGUAACACGUGGAUAACGUACUUAUAAGAGUGGGAUAACUUCGGGACAGCGGAGAUAAUAGCGGAUAAUAUAUUGAACCGCGUGGGUGAAUGGUGAGUGUCGGUUUUGCGGUCACGAAUCGAUGGUUCCGCGCCGCAUUGGAUAGUUGGUAAGGUAACGGGUUUACAAGGCAAGUAUGCGUAGCCGAGCUGAGAGGGUGGUCGGCCACACGGGAGGGGAGACAGGGACCUGACUCCUGAGGUAGGCAGCAGAAGGGAAUCUUCCGCAAUGGGGGAGAGCCUGACGUAGCAACCCGGCGUCAGUGAUGAAGGUCCUCGGAGCGGAAAGCUCUGUUAUUAGUGGAGAACAAAUGUGUAAUUAACCGUGCAGGUAUUGACGGUACCGGAUCAAAAAGCCACGGCUAACUACGUG
rnacentral:rRNA from 1 species